rnacentral:rRNA from 1 species
UACGUAGGGUGCGAGCGUUAAUCGGAAUUACUGGGCGUAAAGUGUGCGCAGGUGGCUUCGCAAGUCGAGUGUGAAAUCCCCGGGCUUAACCUGGGAAUUGCGCUCGAAACUACGGAGCUGGAGUGUGGCAGAGGAAGGUGGAAUUCCACGUGUAGCGGUGAAAUGCGUAGAGAUGUGGAGGAACACCAAUGGCGAAGGCAGCCUUCUGGGCCAACACUGACACUCAUGCACGAAAGCGUGGGGAGCAAACAGG